AUACGGAGGGUGCAAGCGUUAUUCGGAAUCACUGGGCGUAAAGGACGCGUAGGCGGGUUGGCAAGUCAGAUGUGAAAUCCUACAGCUUAACUGUAGAACUGCAUUUGAAACUGCUAACCUAGAGUAUGGGAGGGGGAGAUGGAAUUAGUGGUGUAGGGGUAAAAUCCGUAGAUAUCACUAGGAAUACCGAAAGCGAAGGCGAUCUCCUGGAACAUAACUGACGCCAAGGCGUGAAAGCGUGGGGAGCAAACAAGAUUAGAAACCCUAGUAGUCC
rnacentral:rRNA from 1 species